rnacentral:rRNA from 1 species
UGGGGAAUUUUGGACAAUGGGCGCAAGCCUGAUCCAGCCAUGCCGCGUGCGGGAAGAAGGCCUUCGGGUUGUAAACCGCUUUUGUCAGGGAAGAAAUCUUCUGAGUUAAUACCUCGGGAGGAUGACGGUACCUGAAGAAUAAGCACCGGCUAACUACGUGCCAGCAGCCGCGGUAAUACGUAGGGUGCAAGCGUUAAUCGGAAUUACUGGGCGUAAAGCGUGCGCAGGCGGUUUUGUAAGACAGAGGUGAAAUCCCCGGGCUCAACCUGGGAACUGCCUUUGUGACUGCAAGGCUUGAGUGCGGCAGAGGGGGAUGGAAUUCCGCGUGUAGCAGUGAAAUGCGUAGAUAUGCGGAGGAACACCGAUGGCGAAGGCAAUCCCCUGGGCCUGCACUGACGCUCAUGCACGAAAGCGUGGGGAGCAAACAGGAUUAGAUACCCUGGUAGUCCACGCCCUAAACGAUGUCAACUGGUUGUUGGGAAGGUUCCUUCUCAGUAACGUAGCUAACGCGUGAAGUUGACCGCCUGGGGAGUACGGCCGCAAGGUUGAAACUCAAAUGAAUUG